GAUGAACGCUGGCGGCGUGCCUAAUACAUGCAAGUCGAGCGAACAGAUGAGGAGCUUGCUCCUCUGACGUUAGCGGCGGACGGGUGAGUAACACGUGGAUAACCUACCUAUAAGACUGGGAUAACUUCGGGAAACCGGAGCUAAUACCGGAUAAUAUAUUGAACCGCAUGGUUCAAUAGUGAAAGACGGUUUUGCUGUCACUUAUAGAUGGAUCCGCGCCGCAUUAGCUAGUUGGUAAGGUAACGGCUUACCAAGGCAACGAUGCGUAGCCGACCUGAGAGGGUGAUCGCCCACACUGGAACUGAGACGCGGUCCAGACUCCUACGGGAGGCAGCAGUAGGGAAUCUUCCGCAAUGGGCGAAAGCCUGACGGAGCAACGCCGCGUGAGUGAUGAAGGUCUUCGGAUCGUAAAACUCUGUUAUUAGGGAAGAACAAAUGUGUAAGUAACUAUGCACGUCUUGACGGUACCUAAUCAGAAAGCCACGGCUAACUACGUG
rnacentral:rRNA from 1 species